rnacentral:rRNA from 1 species
GUCCACGCCGUAAACGAUGGGUGCUAGGUGUGGGGGGUGUCGACUCCCCCCGUGCCGAAGCUAACGCAUUAAGCACCCCGCCUGGGGAGUACGGCCGCAAGGCUAAAACUCAAAGGAAUUGACGGGGCCCGCACAAGCAGCGGAGCAUGUGGUUUAAUUCGACGCAACGCGAAGAACCUUACCAAGGCUUGACAUGGUCGGGAAAGCCGUAGAAAUACGGCCCUCCUUCGGGACUCGAUCACAGGUGGUGCAUGGCUGUCGU